AUUGAACGCUGGCGGCAGGCCUAACACAUGCAAGUCAAACGGUAACAGGAAGAAGCUUGCUUCUUUGCUGACGAGUGGCGGACGGGUGAGUAAUGUCUGGGAAACUGCCUGAUGGAGGGGGAUAACUACUGGAAACGGUAGCUAAUACCGCAUAACGUCGCAAGACCAAAGAGGGGGACCUUCGGGCCUCUUGCCAUCGGAUGUGCCCAGAUGGGAUUAGCUAGUAGGUGGGGUAACGGCUCACCUAGGCGACGAUCCCUAGCUGGUCUGAGAGGAUGACCAGCCACACUGGAACUGAGACACGGUCCAGACUCCUACGGGAGGCAGCAGUGGGGAAUAUUGCACAAUGGGCGCAAGCCUGAUGCAGCCAUGCCGCGUGUAUGAAGGAGGCCUUCGGGUUGUAAAGUACUUUCAGCGGGGAGGAAGGGAGUAAAGUUAAUACCUUUGCUCAUUGACGUUACCCGCAGAAGAAGCACCGGCUAACUCCGUG
rnacentral:rRNA from 1 species